GGCGGAAACCGUUUUCUAUGCCCGAACCAACCCGGUCAGAGAUCAGACCGGUUCGGUAUGGGUUGAAUCGGUCGGUACGAGCUAGUUCAACAUUCUUUGCCUCAUUGUAUAUUUUCUCAUACAAUAGGCCUGAAAUUUUCUAGAUUUCUGUACCAUAAGUGGCAUAUAUACUCAUUGCGAUUAGUUUAUGAACAUUCAAGCAACCAUGCCUCUAUUGCCUUGAAAUUACUCAAUUAUUCAAGAAAUUGUUUUCAUGGACUAUCGAUCAAGUGUCUUAUUUAUCCAAGAAAAAUAAUUUCGAGAUAAUGCAUUCUAUGUCCUUUGAAACUCAGAUAAUCAUCUUUAAUUUGUUUGAAUUGGAUGAGUCAGAUACUGAAAAGACUAGUCUUGCUGCUUCUUGUAGGAAUAGAAAGUCUCCAAUUUCAGCCUUGCUUUCUAGAAUCUAAAUAUGUAGCCCUGCAACAACAAGAUUUCUUAAAGGAUAGACAAUAACACAAUAAAUAAAAGAAAAUAAAAUGAGUUGUAGAGAAGAUAGAAGAUGAGAAAAUAAGAUAAUGUAGUGAGAAUUGGGGACGUAAUGAGUUUCACUCAAGAUUUGUUGGAACGGUAUUGGAGCUUGUACUGGCCGGCAAUUGGUUUGGUACAGUACAGGUUCGUACUGUACUGUGCUGGAGCGUAUUGAAACAACUGUACCAUGUUGGAACGUACUGAAACAUGGGGAGACGGAGAAGGAGAGGGAGGAAGAGAGAGGGAGAGAGGGGGGAGAGGAAGAAGGGGAGGGAGGGAGAGAAGGGGGGAAGCUGAGGCCUCCAAGCUCAUCUAAGAGUGAGAGGGAGACCAAGGCUGAGGUGUUCGACGACAGCUUCGCAAGGGGGAAGAGGCCGAAGGAGGCGGGAGAGAGAGAGAGGAAGUGAGGGCUUUGCAAGAGCUCAAAGCAGCUUCGAGUCAUCUGGAUCCUGUGAUGGGGACCGAGAGAAGGAGGGAGGGGGAGGCUUACCUUAGCGAUCAUCCAGUGGAGGCUUCGAGCAUCUGGUGGAGAGAGUUCUUACGAGGUGAAGUGAGCGGGAGAAAGAGAGCCCUCGAAGGCUCUCAAAGCUUUGGUUCGAAUCGGGGAGAGGCGAUGAAUUUUAUAACCCGAAGUCCAGGUUUGGCAUUGGUUUGGUUCGGUACGGGCCGAACCACAUAGUUUAGGUUGGUUCGGCAUUUCUUGUUUUUACUAGGUCAUGUACACUUUAUCAAAGGCUAGAUUUCACCACGUAUAAUGCAUGUGAGAGGAAGGUGGUGGGUGUGAUCCUUCCAUCUUUAGAGAUUUUUUACUACACUAAAGUGUUGGAUGACAUUUCGGUUUGUUGACAAGGUUGCACGCGCGCAUGCACACAUAUCUGCGCUGCAACCAUGUUUGAGGUGUGGAUCGACCAUGAUGGUUAGCCAACUGACUACAUUGCUCAGCAAUGGCUAGUCGUUUAUAACAGCCAGUAUACAAAUUUCAGCCUGUAUAUGAGUCUGGAAGAGGCGUAAUAACUCUUUUUCAUGAGAAAUGAGCUCACUGAUUGCUAGUAAGCAGUAAUACUUGAAUAACAGGUAACAUAAAUCUCCUGUCCUCUGAUUAUGCAUAAAUUUGGAAGCAACCAGGUCUGAAAUAAUACUGAAUUAAUUGUGACUUUGAAGGGGUUUGGCUAAUUCUGCAGUUUGAUUUUCGAACUUCACUUUUCACUUUUAACUUCUUCAAUAAAAUAAUAUUUGUCAUAUACGUGUAUGUUCCUCUCAUGUUAGACAUGAUUGUUCACUAUCUGCUAUUUUCCUUGAUUAUUUUGAUGUAGCUUCACUAGACCUUGGUCUAGAUAUUUCAUCUCAGCAGAGAGUUACAUUGGCAAUUCCUAUUCUCAAAGGUUGCCACUCCACUUGACAUUGAAAUAAUAGUUUGCUCCUUUUUCUUCCAAGUUACGAUAUAUACUAUGCUCUCAGAGAAAAAUGCGUGGAUCUUGGUUGUUUUUUUUAUCAAGCAGAGAUACUACUUUAUUUGCAUCAGAAAACAAUUGGGUUACAGAUGGCUAUUAUUCUUAUAAGCUACCCCGUUUGAGGCGCCAAUUGGAGAUCUUGCAUUAACAACAAAGAUAAGCCUUGAUAGAAAUGAUAGGUGAAUAAGGAUUCAUGAAACCAACCCCACAUGUUUGGGAAAAGACUUGUUGAUUAUGGUUGUGGUUUAUAUCUUUCCAUGUACAUGAUAGAGAUAUAUUUACAGUGUAAAAUUGUAUUUAUUUCCUGACUCUGUUCUUUAUUUAUUAAUUUUUUUCUUUUUAUUGGUUUGUAGAUAAGAUCUGGCAGAAAGCCGGAUGGGGUGUGCCUUGUUGUUGGCACUUGCUCUCGUGGUUUCAGUGAGAACUCAUCAAGUGAUAUUAUUUUCAGUAGUUCAUCCGCGAAGAAGGUUCGAGAUUCAGAAGUACAAUACUUUUGGGAGGUAAUUUCAGAUUUGGUUUUAAAAUAAACUUUAUAUAAUAACCACGGGAAGAAAGACAUGUUUUUGUCUAUAUUCUUUCAUUUUUGUCACUAAAUGCUGAUCCUAAAUGUGAUCCUGACUACUGGAUGAUUUUGCAAAAGAAAAAAAGGGGGUCAUCUUGAAGUAUAUUUCUUCCUUGUUCCUAUGUAUUAUGGUGAUUUAACAAGGAUGCAUUUCUUCAUAUGUAAAUUAGGGUGUCACUUCACCAAUUUUAUUAAGAAAGAAUGAUGCUUUAUUUGAUAGCUUCUUGUUCUACUUUGGUUGGUCCAGAUGUUUCACAGUCUGAUUUAGAUAAUUUUACAGGCUUUUCCUUCUGGUUCUGGUCCUACAGAUCGGACAACUUACUUGUUCACUUAUACUGAUGCACAUCUAGGGGCACCAAAGUUGGAAGAGCUACUAGAGGACUAUUGGGAUCUUUUACCAGCUUAUCAGGUUAGUGCUCAAUACUUUGCUCGAUUCAUUUAGUAUGCUUAUCCUUGUACGGUAUGGAGGAGACCUUAAGGUCUCCCAUAUUCUUUGAAGUCUUGUGAUGUUCCUUUUCAAUAUAACCUGUGUCUAAAGUCUUUAAAGUUUGUUCUGGGUAGGUUUUUUCUAGGCUUACAUAUAAUUUAUUUCAUCUUUUUGAGUGUGUGUAUAUAUAUAUAUAUGAUUUUGCGAUCUGGCAAUACAAAGAUACAUGGUGAAGUACAUCUGUCUGAUCUCAUGGUAUUGAGGAGCAAAUAUAAUUUUUCUGUGGCUUUACAUGCAAUUUAAAGUUAAAAAAUUGAUAGGUGGCUAUUUGAUGGACCUGCAAAAGACUGAGUUUGCAUAAGCUGCUGAACUUGUCACAAGCGAUGUAAUGGUACAUGCUUUCAAGGCAUUUAGCAGAAGGCAAAGACAACGGUUCAAGAAUUUUAAGCUGCAAAGUUUUGCUAUUAUUUUAUUCCAAAAAACCGAGUCGAUGGCUUGACUGGGCAAAUAAUGGCCAAUAUUUCUGUUAUAUGGUACACCAUGGUUUUGAGGAGGUUCCAUAAUUAUGGAAUAUUGGUGUUUACAUCUUGUGACCGAAGCAUUGUAGACUUGAAAGUCAGCCCCUUUUCUAAUGGCUAUAGGUUUAAUAGUAUCAUCAUACCAAUGAUCUGGAGGAAGGUCAUUUUCAGUAAUGUAACUCAACAGUCAAUUUAUUACACUUUGACAAUGAAGAAAGAAUAUGAGUCGCAUAUUAACAUAAAGUCAAUUUGUCAUCAUUUUUGGUUUCCAAAUUAGCUUUAUCUUUGUGAAUUCGAAUAAUGCAUUUUGUUUCCCUUCUAUUCUUUCUAUCCUGCCAUUGACGUACAUAUAUUAUAAUUUUCUCCAAUAGGGUGUAUCUCUUGACCAGUUGGAAAUAUUAAGAGUCAUCUUUGGUAUCUUCCCUACUUAUCGAGACAGGUAAAUAACCAGAUGGCUAGCAUAUUGGAACGGACAUUAUUGUUUUGAUAUUCUUAGUGUAGAAGAUAUUCUUACACAUUCAUAUAUAGUUUAUACAUUGUUUUUGCUCGUAUUGUCUGGACAUACCGUGCAUGAGGGCUUGUGCCUGUUAUAACCAUAUAGGACAAUUUUCACUAUAAUAGUAAAGAAAUAAAGCAUCGUGCAUCUAAUUUCUCAAAUUUUAUAAAAUUCAUGUCCAGGACACUUAGCCUGAGCUUCAAAAUUUAGUUUCUUUCUGAAGCAAAUCCCACCAUUGGAUUUGAUUAUUGCAUCAAACAUAACAAAUUCUUACCCUUCUCUCCAUCUAUACUUUCUCACAGAAAUUCUAUUUACUGUCAUCAGCAGAUCAUCACCAGAGAUCCCAGAUCCCAAUUAAAUCUUAGGGAUUUGUAUCAGAUCUCCAUGAUUCCUCUGGUGAUAUCGGAUUCAUUGAAGUAACCACCCCUUCAUUCUUCAAGUGGUUGACAGUAGUCAAUGGUCUAUUGCAUUCAUCUGAGCUUUUCUACUUCAUGUUGGAUUUGCCUUGGAAGGUUACUAAUGGACUUUCAUCUCUUUCAAUGAAACUUCGGAUCCUAGAUUUACUUUAGUAAGAACAACCCUUUUCUUUGGGACUAAUGUCAUUCAGGGAACUAAAAUCAUCUCUCUUGCCCUGUUUUGCUUCCAGAGCUGAUUGCUUAUCUUUGCUUCCUAAGAGGACUAAAUAUGUAAGUGUGCAUGCAAGGACACAUGUAUCUAUGCACAUAUGUUAGGCUACUUGUUAUUUGUGUAUAAAGAAGGCAAACCUGAAUUGAAUUACCUAAAAUACAUCUAGUCUUUGUAUCCUCUUCCAUCUUACCUUUGCUUCUAGUGUUUUCACAUCUAUCCGACCCUUCAUUAGAAUUGCAUAAACUCUUGCUCUUAAGAUUAGGUUUCAGAGUUCUUCUCUGUUAUUCAUUUCUUGAAAUCCUUCUUACUACCUUCAUCAAUAGUAUUAGGCAUGCACCACUGCCUUCUCCCUUGUUGUACUCAUGUUCCUCUCUAUGCACAUGCCAUUUUAAUCUGUUGAAAAUUACCAAUCCAUUUCUCUCUAUUUCAAAAAUACAUUCUCUGUUUGUGCUAUUUCCAGACUUCCCAAACUUCCUUAAUCAAUGAGAAGUUUUAUGCCUUAGUACCCUCCUCUUGGUAUGCUCAUCUUUUGCCUAUUUACUUAUUUUUCAAAUAGUCUUGUUUGUGCAGCUUUCAGCUAUAAUUGUUAUCUUGUAUAGUUUUGCCUUGUCUCUCUCAAUGUGACUGGCUAUCACACAACACCAUGGUAGCGCCUUUUACUUAAUUUAACAUCAAUUAAUUCUCAAACCGCUAUUGGCCAGUUUGAAUUGUUUGAAUCUUCUUCAAUAAAAAAUAAUUACAUUUUUUUUGAAGAUGGAAAAUUGAUUGUUAUACCCACAAUGGAUAACCAAUAUUAGCUUAGUGUAUCUGUACUAGCUUUGCUGGAGCUUGCAUGCUACUCUUAGUGAUCAUAACAGGUUGAUUAUCUAGGAAAAAAUAUUCUGAUUGUUAUCCGAUUGUUAUCCGGCAUUAGGUACAGCACAACAUGUGCCUGGUCACUCCAUCUUGGGUGAAAUUUGUAUUGCAUGGACACAGAUUCGAGACCCGGAUUUGGACACAUCCAACUAUCUGACUUAGCAAGAGGGAAAAAGAGACAUGGAAAUUCAUAGGAUAAAAUAAAAUUUUAACUAAAUUAUAUAUUUAUACUUUUAAAUAUUAAAUAUUAAAAGAUAUUGUUUGUUAAGAUUGUCAAUUUACAUGUUUCUAAUUAAGUGAUUAACUUAAGAAUUUAAGGAAAAUAAUAUUUUACCUAGUCUCUAAAAGCAACAAAUGUUGACUCCCAAUUUCGAAUAGAGGUUCAAACUCAUCGUUAGAGGAGAUCAACUCUCUUCCAACCUAUAAAAUUGGCUGACAAAGUACUUCAUUAGUAUCCAAGUGUUUGAUACAUAUCCGACUUGGAUAUGUAUCCGGCAUAUUUUUUUGGAGCUGAAUGCAAGUGUCUAGGUAACACAGUCAAAUCCUAUUCUUAUCACUCGGCCAUCCUAUUGUCUUAUCACUUCUCUAGCACCCUAUCUAUUUUAUGCCCUCUGAUGCCACUACCUCAUGUAUGUGGAGUUAAAGUUUUCUACUAGGACUAUGUGCUAGCCCCUGCAAUCCAUUUAAAAAGCACAAGAACCAUAUAACACCUACAUAGAGAUUUUGCAUGCUUAACUGACAUAUGUAGUGUGUGCACAAUUUAUAUAUCCACUUGUAGUUUGACAUUGAAAAACAUAUUACCCCUACACAAGGAUGUUGCUGAGUACCUGACAUAGCUUGUAAUGCACAGAUUACAUGUCCACGUGUAGCCUGACAUUGCUGCAAACAUAUGACCAACUUGUUUAGCGCUUUCUCCUUUCAUGUUUUCAGCAUGCGGUGUUUGCAGACCCAUGCAUAUAAGGGAGGUCAUAGUAUAUUCAAGACAUCAUUUUGAAUAAAAACCUUAAGUAUUUAUGCUGAGUUAAUAGUGUAAUUUGAGAUGCAAUCUGUAAGAAGCACAUACUUAGCCUGUCAUUGUGUAUGAGACAUCUGAAUUCAGUGUUUCAUUCAUUGUACAACUUUUUCACUUUUUAAAUUUAUAUUUCUUGCAUCUUGAUUCAUUGUGUAUGUUCAUCAUAAGUCAUGCCAUGAUCUUAGCUUAAUAAGCUCCUAAAUGAGAAACUAUUGUGAAUUCAUUUCUCUGAGAUCUCCCUUGUUAAUUGGUUACAGCCCACUGCCUGCAGCAUUUGAUCGUAUCAUACAGGUAUUUUACAUCAUCCAUAGUGAAACUUUCAUCCUCUGUGGCUUUUCACUAAUAGUUCAAUGAAGGUUGGUGAUGCCAGUGGUAUCCAAUCACCUGUUUCUUUUGGAGGUUUUGGGAGCAUGACAAGACACCUAAGUCGGCUGUCGACAGGUAUGCAUGGCUAAUGCUUACUAUAGAAGCAGCACGUUUUCUAAAUAAAUGAAUUUGUUCAAUGAAUAAUAAAAGUUAUGUGAGUCUGGAUUUUUCAGUCAAUUUUACAAUCAGGAAAAUAGGUAUAUAUCCGCAUCACCACAAUUGGUGUGUACCCUUUUUUAAUAUAAACUGUGCAGUCUUUUUUAGAAUGGCUUAGGAUAGGUUAUACUUGUAAUUCAUUAAUCGAGCUCCGUAUGUUACCAUGAAAUAGAGCAAAGAUUGUAAGUGUGAUGAAGGUCAACAGAGUUAUAUGUUUUAGGCUCUAUUAGAUGCAGGCGCAGUUUUCAUGCUAUACAAAGUGUAUUACAAAGACUGCACUCUGAUGUUAUUUCCAUUCUUUUGGUUUGUUGGAGGUUAAGGUAUAUACGAAGCGGUCAUGGGAAAUUUCCUUGAUGCUUAUUCCUUGGGCUUGCUAAACCCUUAUAUGGUUUGUAUUAUAUGGCUCAGUCCAUUUACGUAAGUUCUGAUGUAUAGACCUCAGGUGAAGAAUUUGAUUUGCAGCCAAAUUUAAGUGCAUCAUGGUUGUUUCAAAGAGCAAUGUCAGCCAAGUCAGAUACUGACGUAUCAUCAACUUUUAUUAAUGAGCUUCUUUAUGUAAACUUCCAAGCUAUGCAGGUAAUGUUUCCACACACGAUUCCUUAUGACAUUAUUUCUGCUUGUGUCUUUGUGAUUAAAAUUCUCUAUUGGUAUCUUAAUUAUAUUUCGGCAGAGGCUUGGGGAUUCAGUGCUUCGGCCAUUUCUCCAGGUUCGAAUCAUAAUCUUAGACUUGGUUGAUCCAUUGCUUGCUAGAAACUUUUGAGGUUCCCUUACUUCUGUAAGAGUAUUAAAAAAGGUUAUCAUGUCAGUUCACUGCCUUAAAUUUGAAUAGGUACCAUUGUUUAUGGUAGCACUCGCUUGUGUUUUAAAUUAAUUGUUUUUUGAGGAAUGUAUUUAUAUGAUGCCAUAAUAGGAUGUGAUACAAUUUGGGCCUCUUGUGAAGACCUUGGGUUCAGUGAUGUUAAACCAACCACAAAUUUUGCCUUCAAUAUUCAAACAGGUGAACAUAUUUCAUUUUUUUAAAACUAAAUUUAUCUUUUCCUAAAUUUUCUCUUCUUUUGUUAUUGAGUAUUUUAUUAUCUUUUUAGCAACUGUAACUUUUUUUAAAUUAAACUCCACAUCAUUUAUUUUUAUAAAAUUGUGAUUAUUUGUAUAUGCUACUUGACAUUAUCACAGAUGCUAGAGUUACAGCAGGAGAUAAAUUUGGUUCUCAUUGAUGGAGGUGCUUUUGCUAUAUGAAUUAUGUCUGCCUACUUUAUGAUAUAGGCAGUGUGCUGAUCCCUUAAUUACAGUAAUAGGGAAGCCAAAGGAUGUUCUUUCCUGUUGUUUCUCUUUUAACAUUGAUAUACCAACUCCAAACUUCUGAGCAGGGCCGGCCCAACCUUUAGGCGACUUAGGCGGUCGCCUAAGGCCCCGGCCCAAAUAUGGCCCACCGCAGAAAAGGCCUCAAAGAUAAAUGAAAAGAAAAAAAGGUCCCCAUGUUAGUUCGUCUUAGGCCGGCCUACUGCAGGAAAGACCUCAAAGAUAAAACAGCCUUAGGCCCCCAAAUACAUUGGGCUGUUCCUGCUUCUGAGCAUCACCAAUGGUCUUGUCGCUGACCUGUAGAGCUGGUUCAGGGUUAACAAUUUCCUGUCUGAUGAAUUACAUUCUGUAACCCUCAUUUCCUUCCCUCAUACAUGAACGGGUCCUAAUGUGUCACAUACAUCAGUGCAUAUGCAAUCAGUAACCCUCCACUGGUCAUGUAUAAUAAUACCACUGCUCGGCUUUAGCGUUUUAUCCAUUUCAAAAUCUCCUUGUAAAUGAAUCCUUACAUACCACAUACACAAUGCAAAUGCAAUCAGUAACCAUCGACCAGUCAUCUAUUAUAAUACCACUGCUCAGCUGUUUAUCAUUUGCCUAUUUUAAAAGUUCUACCUUCUGAAAGUGAUGCGUUCUGUAUAUCAGGAAAAAUUUAGAUGCAAAGUGGAUAGUUCAGCCACUGAACUGAACCUAAUCAUUUAACUCUUUGGAGCAUGUCUGUUCUCUGUUCUGUAGUCAUUUGUACAGAGGAAACCUCCAUGAAUGAUGUUCCCCAAGAACUUCACAUUUGAUGACAUCAAAAAGUUCCCAUAAUUUCCUUUUACAUCAUUUGGGAUUACUGAGCCAACUACCAAAAAUCUGUCACCUGGCCAAAGAUGACCAUCCUAAUCGCAAGCUGCAGGAGUGUCACUUGCACCCUUAUCUAUAGUUUCUGGAAAACAGUCUCCAAUUAGCUGUUGAUUCCAGUCAGGUUUGGGGACAUUAACUAAAACAUAAUUUCUAGGGGAAAAAGAAACUAACAUUGUGCUUCAAAGCAGUUAAUGUUAAGGAUAGAGCUCCCUCAGUUGGUUCACCUGAUAGUUUGUGAUGUUUACUGUCAACUGGUCACCAUCUAUGCAUUCACGAGAUUUUUUUAUUUUAAUUUUUUAAAUAGAACGAUGCUGCUAAUCAGGACUGACAAAAGGGGAUUCUAUGCUUCCUCUGGUCCUUAAUCACUGUGUGGGGAAGAAUUUAACCCAGAGGUUUAGCAUUGAGCGUCAAACAGAGAUUAUCUCACGAGGUUGCAGGUUGACAAUGUUUGCUGUUAUCCACUUGGAGGACAUGACCUCAGUGGUGGCGGCAGACUCAUUGUAUGUGAGGUAAUUUUUAAAGGACUCUCUGCUGUUCAAAGGAUUAGAGGAGUCAGAUGUAUGUACAUGUUUUGAAAUUCUUUCAGAUUGGCCUAACGCACAGGGCGAUCCAGAACAAAGGCCUUUGCAUCAAAGGGACACUGGUAGGCUGUUGAGGGGUAAAAUGGUAGGAGCAUUUAGUGAGCCCUUUCCAUAUAGCGAUAAGUGGUUGUUCAUCAUUGGGUAUCAAGGCUGGUGCAUAGGAGUAGCAUGUUGACCUUGGUGAAAUAAAAAUAUUGAACUCGUGCAAGUUUACACGGUCGUACAUGAUAGAGCUAGUGAAUGAGGUCAGCAGUGGAAGCUAGGUUCAUUCAUCUUCGGUUUCUUGAGUUUUAUGACCAAUUAUCAACUCAUUAUCUAUGAAGUGGCUAUUAGUAGGAAAUUAUGUAUAAUGAAUUUUAUCUGUUAUUUAGAGAACGGUGAUUUGCUUACUACCUUCUUCCCUUUCUUUGACAUGGUUUCCAUGAUUGCAUCUGUUUUCAUAUGUCAACAAAUGGUUGCUUGGUUGUAACUUACGCUAGUGAUAUGUUUCUUUCUCCCGUAUUUUCUUCAGGUUGGAGUUGGCGUUAUUCUUGGCUGGUCUGUGCAUUUUGUAAUGCUCGGUCACUACACAUUUCUUUCAUGCUAUGUUGGUCCUGUUAUUAGGUAAAGUAUCAUGUAUGGCAAGUUGCUAGCAGCUGCUACUUUUUGGUGUUCUUUACCCAUAAAAAACGUACAUGCUAUAUUUUUGCUGACAUACAAACGCUUUCUUGUCGAAGACCAUGGAUGGAAUUUCUUCCACAAAAGAAGAAAUAUGAAUGGAAUCGGCAUUUGGAAGCAUGGAAGUAUGGAGCUGGCUUAGAUUACAAAGAAAUGAAGUAAACAGCUUAAAGCAGAGAAUUUUUAUAUGAUAUUCAUAGUUAAUCACUUAACUCCGGAUCAUAUGUUUCUGUAGACAUUGUUUUCUUAGCCCACAUUUGGGCAAUGAAUACUCCACACCAUGUCAUAACCGAUCUGUGAUAGAGAAUAUCUUCAAUCUAUUUAGCACGUUGACCAAUAUGUCAUGUAAUAUGGCAUUUGAAAUUGUAGCCUUUGUUGUUUUUAAUAAAGAAUAAGCGAUCAGAAUAAGUGUGCGUUUUCUUGAUCCGUAAAUAUUCCAGAACUUUCACAUUGACCCGGUUUUAAGUCAUGCAACUAAAUUUUUCUCAGUUUAGAUUUGGUCAAGUUUAAAAAACUAUGGGCAUGUUGGAUUGCAUCAUAUCAAGUUGAUUUAUUUUUUUUGCUUUUUUACUUCGGAAAGUACAAUAAAUAUUCAUCACGACCUGGAUUUAGAACUCAGAAACGAAGGCACCGACUGAUAUUCUUUCACUGUAGAGGCCAGAUGUUGAAUCAUGCGAUCAAGAGUAGGAUGGGUCGGCCUAUGUUGGGCCAGAUCAAAUUUGAUUGGGUCAAGCCACGAAACUUGACUCGCGAGUCCAUCUCCUCCCGCCCACAACCCGACCCAAGCCAAAUGAUUUGGUUCGCAACUUGACAGAACCAAAAUUAUGUCCUACUAUAGAGUGGUAACAUUUAAUCACCGUAAAGUCACUUCACUUCGUCAUUGUGAAAGCAUGCUUCAAGAGAAAAAUUGCAUUGGAAAACAAAGGUUAAAGACAGUCAUCAUAUAUGACCAUCAAUUACAAAAAACUAACUUUUACAAGCUUUUCACAACUAUGGCCUCAUUCCAUAUUUCCACUGAAGUUUUGUAGAAGCAGAUAGGCUAACUGGGGAUGAAUUUGUAGGAAAGACUCCCUUGCUUUGUAGUUCCCCCUUUGUUGACCACAAUGGGUCAAGCAAGUUUACUUACCAUUUUAAUAUUUUUCUUUACCAAUUAUACAGAAAAAAAGAACAAGAAUGCUCAACGCAAAUAAUAAUUUCCUCAUGCAAGUGCUAAGGGCUUCCAUGGGGACCUGGAACUUCUUUCCACGGUAGCUGACAAAGCUUCUCGCCGCUGCUCGGCACACUUAAUAUACUCUUCGAUAGGUGGAAGAUUUAUUCCGCCCUCAACAUCUUUCAAUGCUUGGCCUCUUAUUACCUAUCGCAAGCAUGCAAUCUCAUACACAAACUAUGGCAAAAGAAAUGAUACGAAAAAAACACAAAAUUCAAAGUCAUACCUUUGAAGCCCAAUGCCUUUCAGCUUGUUGGCACACAUCCCUGAUAUCUCUCCCAGACAUUCUAAAACACAACAUGCAAUCUAUGGUCAUUCACAGACAGGGGAUCAUACCAAUAAAGCAUAAUCUAAAUUUGCUUACAAAAAGAAUAAUAUAUGUAGGUCAGAAAAGUUGGUGCUGGCUCUCUUUAACAAACUACAACAUUUCAUGCACCAAGAAUAUACCAACUUAUAUAACAAGCUGAAAUUACGUAUCCAACCGACAUCUACUUCAUGAACAAUCACAUCCCUGCAAAUGCCAUAAUUACAACAAAUAGUAAAGCAUAAAUAACAAUGGUAUUAAGUCAAGAAAUCUUCAAAUCUUGCAACUCUGGAGGGCAUAAUGAAAAUCAUAAGACUUCUCAACAUUUCCUGCUAAUGAAGGAUUUCAAAACAAGGCCUUUGUUUUGCCCCUUAUCUUGAGUUUUACCUUUUCUGUGCAUAAUCUUCAAAAGGGAUUCAUUGCGAUGAUUGCAAAAUUUUUAGCUUUUCUGAUAUGCCGUUAGCUGGUUUAUAUGGGAAAAGAAUCAUCGCAGUUCUCAUACAAUCAAAUAUCAAAUAUUGACAUUACUGAACCAUGAUGACACAAGGGCACAUUGUCACCUCGCUACUUCUUCCAUCAUAUAAUGUGAUCAUGGUUCAAGGCGCACAAACAUAGUAUGCUAGUGCUUGCUUUUGAAAGUUUAGUGCUCAAGAGUGAACUGUUUCUUAAACAGAAACAAGUGUGCCAAAAGGUAUCUGCAUUUGCAAGUCAUGCAAGUCAUGAGGCAUGAUGAUUGCUGGCACCUCCCCAGAGAUGUUGCCUUUUGUAAAACUGAAUAGGGAAUCCGAUGACAUCUAAACCACGAGUAACUAAACAAAUGAACUUCAGAGUCUUAGGAAUUGCUGAAACAUUGAACCCGAGCUUUUCCAUUGACAAAGGGGAUAAUGAGUUUUAGCACAACAACUUCAUAUAGUCCAUAACUUUGUAAUUCAUAAAGAUUUCUUGAAUCAGUCCAGAAUAAAUCAUAGAAUCUGUAAAUAAUUUAGUAUUAAACAAAUCUUUAACUGACUUGUUAUAGGAAGCAGUUCAGAAAAUCAUUCAGCGAAGGACAAAUUAAGAAUAAUUCAAAGGUUUUUAACAAUUCAGAAAAUUUUAACAAUUCAGAGAGCAUUGCUUGGAUGCUGAGUAGUUAACCACCGCCUGGACAAUAACAUUGGUAUUCAGCCCUUAACCAACCAGAAAACAAAGUUAUUCGCUGUUUCUUGGUACUCAUUUAACCCACCAUUCAUGCCAUAAUAUAAUAUAAUCUAUUAUUAGAUUAGAUUCUAAUCUGUUAUAUUAUAUUAUGUUGCUAUAUUAUAUUACAAUAUUAUUAUAUUAUAUUAUAUUACAUAUUAUGUUAUAAUUAUAAUAAAAUUAUAUAAUAUUGUAGUAAUAUUGUACUAUUAAUAAUACAUUACUAUAUCAUAUCAUAUUAUGUUAUAUUAUUAUUAUAUUAUAGUAUUCAAUAUUAUAUUACACUAUAUUAUAAUAAUAUUGUACAAAAUAAUAAUAUUUUAAUAUGUAAUAAUAUGUAAUAUUUUAUUAUAUUAUACUCCAAUAUGCAUUAGUAUGUAAAAUAUCCUUUAUUGUCAUUUUAUCGUAUCAAAAGUAUUUUCUCAUUUUGGUUACCAAACAUAUAUUAAAGUUUCACAACACUUUAGAAAUAUAGUUACCAAACAACAAAUAGUUUUUUUAUAAAAACACUACUUCCAAAAGUUCUACUUUCCAAAUGCUCUACUUCUAAAAGUCCUAAAAGUUCUACUGCCAACAACAAUCCCAAACAAGGCCUAAGCCUUAACAAAUGCUAAUUAUAGAGAUGAUGCUAUAGAACAAUGCAAGAUAAUGAAACUAGAAAAAAAAAGUGAUGACUUUAGGCCAGACAACUAAUGUGUGAAACCCAUGUUUCAAAACUUGGUUCUGGUUUUGGUCAGGCCAGACAGUAGUUCUUUAUGUUUCAGCAGUUUCAGCUUGAAGAGUAGAUGGCUAAAAUACCCCAAGGAAACCUAUUAUGAUCUUUAGGUUCAUGGUUUUGCUAUUUUGAGGCUCAAAGCUUGAAUGGAUGAGGAAUUAAUCUUUGAAAACUAAUGAAAAUCUUACAGAACUACUGUUUUUUUUUGAUACAUAAAGAACUACUGUUUAACAAACUUACUCUUAAACAACUAAUAUUGUAAAUAUUUAUAAUAGCAGAAUAUGAUUAUACAGAACCAGUUUAUGAAUAUAAAACUUGAUAUAAUGACAACCUUCAUGCUAGGUACCAAACCAACAUAUAACUAAUAAUUCAGUAGGUAUGAGAAAAGAUCAACAACUGUGAUGGAUCAACAAAUGUCACAUAUGGUUACCGUGUCCAUGUCACCCGUACCAUUAAGGCCCUGUUUGGACACUAGAGCAUCUUAUCCGGCAAUAGGAUUUGCUUUAAUCUAUACACGGCCAGAAAAUUAGGAGUUUGAGGAGAAAUUAUUCAAUAGACAGUGAGCAAAAACCAUGAUGGGAAAUUCUGGUUCAUAGCAGCCCACAUAAGAAAAUCACCUCUCAAAUAGAACAGAAUCCCAAUUUUUCAGGAAUUAAGGGCUCUGGGUGGUUUCUGUUCCAUUAAUCAUUUCUCUCCUAUUAAUCAUAUCUCUCCUAAAGUUCCUCCCCUUUUCACUUUAAACUCUAUUUGGGUCUUAUCCAAUGAAUAACAUACCCAGCCAUCCAGAAAGGCCCUAAAAAAGUUCAACUCCAAUCUACUAGUAUCAAGACAACCUUCUAAAGUCUAAACAUCUCACGACCUUGUUCUGCAACAAACAAGUUCAGAGAAAGAGACUUGAAGAUCUUGCUUUAUUGAGAUAAACAUGUCUAAAGCCAGCCAUUAAUUAGACUUCAGAAAAAGGAUGGAAGGAAAAAUAGCCAACAAAUUAUAUGCAGCUGGUUAACUAUCUUGAGUAAUGGAAGCACUUACUCUUCUGUAGCUGAGGCAAACUGGACUAAUUCAGACUUUUUUAGGUGCUUUGCAUACUGAGCAGCUAUUUCUUCACGAGUUUGUUGAUCAGGUAGACCAAAUGAAAUCAUUGAAUCAAAGCGGCUGGAAGAAAAGAUGCACAUGCAAAAAUUGAUUGCUGUUAUCAAUCAAUAGCAUGCAUAGCAUACAGAAAGAACCAUGACAGAUUCAGCAACGUCCACUAACUCCACACAGGAAAAAAAACAUCAUAGAAGUUCACCUGAUGAGAGCAGGAUCAAGGUCUUGCUUUCUAUUGGUUGCAGCUAUAACCACUACUCGCUUUUCUUGCUCAAAUCCAUCAAUCUGCAAAAAAGCAGACCGUGCAUUAAUGGCUUGAUAUAAAUCACACAAGUGUAACAACACUAUCACCAGUUCAACCCCAUAAAAAAGAGGAAGAAAAUAUAGAACUUUCAAUCAGUGAAGCUGGUAUUAAAACCUGAAUCAAAAAUCUCCUCAAACAUCAACUAUUCCGGCAUAUCCAUAGGAAGAAGCAUAGGCGAACAAAUCGAACACUUAUAUCACGUAUUAUUUUGAGAGAAAAUUAUAUCAAUACUUAAGUUCUGGAUUUUGAUAAAUGCAAUACCCUUUGAAAUACACACUUAGUCAGAUUAACUCUAUUGAACAUCUUUGAGAAAAUGAAAUGAUGGUACGCAGUAACAUGAGUCUAUCACUGAUAACUAAUCUUUUAGAACAAAUUUAUCACAUGCAAUGCAGGUGCCUGAAAUACAGCACUUGUAAUUUAUAAUCUAUAAUCACAUUAAGACUUAGUCAACUUAAAAAACCAUAACCUUUUAAUAGUAUGUAUUAGAUGCAAUGUACAAAAAGAGUUGCCACACCCUUUUUUCACCAAUUCUCAAGUGAAUUCAGGAGGAAAUCAGAAUGUAACUUGACAAUGAAUUCCGAACUCCUAAUCCUGACUUAAUGCUUAAGUAUGAAGCAGCAGCUAAGAUGAUCCUUCAACUUUACCAUUUUAUUCUAAACAUGACAUUGCCAUCUGAAGGAGUAAUUGAUCUAGUGACACAUCAGGUUUGUUUGCAGAACAAACAAGCCGGAACAUCAUUAUUAAAAUUGUGCUUAUGUAAAGUACUCAAUUAAUUACAGAUGCAUCAUUAUACUUUCAAAUUAGCAAUCUAAUCAAAUUUAUGCUUUGCAAGCAUAGAAAAACAUUUUGUUCAAUUUAUACAUUUGAAUUUCCACUUUUCUUUUCUUUUUUAUGUCCUAAAUCCUAUUAUGUGAAGAGUUAAGCAAUUUGAACCUAAGCUGGAAAACAUAAUGAGCAAGGCCCACAUCUGCUCGAACAAACUAACCCACUAGUGUUUCUAACCAGAAGGUCCAGAACAACUAAAGUAUCACGAAUUUUUCUAGUGCCUAUCUUAACUUCUAACUUCAAGUUAAAUUCUAUUGAUACACAAUCUCUAUAGUCUAUACUAUGGUGUUUAGCUCAAACAUGACUAUAGGUGUGAACAUCAGCAGGUGUGAGAGAGUAUGAUUUGGCAAGAGAAAGAAGAGAACCUUCUAUACAAAAUAUGUUUUAUCAAUAAUAAAUGAAUAUGGUUUCUAUGUCUCUUAUCUGCUCUAGAACUUCAUCUUGAUAUUCUUUAUAUUUCUAUCAGUUUAAAAAUAUCAAAAUUUUACAUUGCCAAUCCAAUUAUCUAGAUCAAUCUACCAUCAUCAUAAUGCAUGAAUGAAACUAAAACACAGUUUGGAGAUAGGGUGCACGGCCUAAAAUGAUAAAAUUAUUGAUAUGGAGUAACAAUAAAAUAAAAGUAAAAAUAACCCCACCUGUCGUAAUAUUACUGACAAAAUCCUACGCGUAGCUUCAUGCAUUUCACUAUCUCGAGCAACUGCAAAAGAAUCAACCUAUACAAAUAGAAGAAAGCUGUGAAGAGAUCCAUAUCACUCCACAUAUGAAUACAAGCCACUCUCUCUCUCUCGCUCACUCACUAUGUGUGCGUGCGUGUGUGACGGGCGUCCAUACAUACAUACAUACAUACAUACAUAUUAAAGGAUAACAUAGCAAAAAAGCCACAGCAUUUCUAUGCCUGGAUUUGUACAUUUUAUAUCAUACUUUGUCUCUCUCAACUAAGGUAAUACAUUCAUUUCUGAAAUUAUGGCACAUAAAUACACCAAGGAUUUAGAAGCUGCUCAUACUGGACCUACACAAUCUGGUACAUAGAGUUAAAGGCCAGGAGCCGGUAGGGGAAAGACCAAUAUGCUCUGGAAUCAGCCAAACUGGGCCCAAACCGCCCAUAUCGACCAAUACGAGGCAGAUCGGCCCCAGGCUAACCUGCACCAGGGGCCAACCGAGCAAUACCACUCAAGAUGGGUUUCUUGUGCUUUUUAGAGCCUGUUCUCUGCCAUUUAAAGGUUGGAACGCGCAGAGGAAGAAGCCAGCAACUAUUAAAAGGUAAGUUUCAUGGGAAUAAAGCAAGGAUAAUGGAGUUUUUGGUCCAGAAGAGCAUUCUAGUUUGGUAAAUCUGUCUCCACCCCUUCCCAUUUUUUAAUUUCUUGAAAAAUCCAAGAACUAUGUAGUAUUUAAUUUGAAAAAAUAAUGAGAAUUUUGUUCUUUAUGGAUCUAAUGAUGUUUUAAUCCCCAUAUUCAUGCCUAGAUCCCAUGGAAUAUCAAUUGAUACAACCCUAAACCCAAUUGCACUUCAAUUGAUAAUUCUAAUGCAGCUAUAUUCUAAAUGUAUCUUUAAUUUGAAGUUAUAUGAUGUUAUGUCAUCAACAUGCAAUACAAAAAUUUCAGCACAUACCAAGAAACAUGACUGGAGCACUUAAAUCGAUACUUUUACCAUAUUUCUUGCAAAAACAUAGCGAUAAGGAAAUAAAACAUAAGAAAAAGGAAAACAAAACAUGGAGACCAAAAUAGGCCAAUACCAAGGGUGUGCGAGUUGUGUCAAAGUGUCUCAAUCAAUACCCUUUGUAGAUACUGAGCACAACAUGGCAUAUGCAAUAUAGGUUCAAUACUUCGUAUUUUGAACGUCACUUUACAUGUAUAUGAAAAUCUUAUCUAGAAUCAGCAUUUGAAGUUCUAGUUUGAGGAAUCCAAUACCUCACACUAAUUUACAUAAUUAUAAGCAUAACCAUAUAUGUAUCAAGUACAAAAUCACAUCUACGAAUUCCCAUACCACCCAAUAUGGGGCGUACCGUACCACAUCGGAUGGGAACCGGUAUGAAAUUCAAAUUCGGAUAAGUACAGAACUAUAGAUCCUGUAUUGCCUUGUAUCAUCCCGUACCAAGACGUACCAAGGUAAUGUACCACCCCUUACCAAGGCGUAUCGAGAUAAAAAGUAAAAAAAAUAUGGUUGGAGGGCUAUUUCAGUACAAGAUGCAUACCGCACCAUACCGACCCGUAUUAUACCAAACCAAUAAGGUACCAAUACAGUACCCGGUACCGAGAUUGCGGACCUUGAUCAUAUCAAUGAUAGUUUUAACUUUGCUUGUACAAGAAUAUAUAAUAAAAGUGGCCCCAAAUACCUCAUCUAGAAAAAUGAUAGCUCCAUUAGGAAGCUCAUUAGCAAGAGAAAAAACAUUCCCUAGCAACCGCUCACUUUCACCAUAAUAUUUUGACAUGAUGACCUCCAAUGGCACAUAAAGCAAUGGAACACCCUGCAACAACAAGACCAUGCGAACAUAAUAGUAAAUGACAAUACAUGAUGUAUUUGUAAAAAUAAAAUAUAGUAAAUCAUAUUUUUCAAAAAACACUUGGAUAACACCAGUUUUGCAGUGACAAUUUUCCACGGAAUAUAUUUUUUGUGUGAUUAGCAAGUUAUAUUGUGAAAGUGAAGAAAGUUAUGUCUCAUAAAUAUUAAUAACAGAAAUAAACAACACUACCCUGUACUACUUGCUUGAGCUGAGGUUCAUAGUCUAUACUCUUCAUGAUAAUUGGUGAUUCAACAUCCACCAAAUGCUUAAAGGGAAUCCCUUCUAUACUAAAGUACGACACUAAACAUCUAAGCCCUCCCUACGCCGUAUACAAAACAAAUGUUAUUCAAUAUUCUCAUCAAGUUGCUAAUGAAUGUCGUGGUCUGGGACAUAGAGAUCCAUUAUGAGUAUUACAAAUAAAUGGAUCCACAAAAUAUGCAGUAAAAAUUUCCACAAGAAACUGUCAUACAUCCAACAAGAAGAUUAUAUUGUUUGUAUUAAUAUCAUAAUUUCUCCUUCUCUAUUGGUAAACAUAUUAUACAGCAGAAAAUAAAAAAGUAGCUUUUCUAAUAAAAGGAGAUAUAUUAGAAAUAGCUACCAAUUACAAUGCAGGUUCUUGACAACGAUUAAGUGAUUCCAUCUCAAAAGCAUGGAACAAGCAAUGGAGUAUUAAAUCAAGGUCCCCCUAUAAACAUAAUACAAGAGAGGUUAUGAAAGAGGGGAUGCUAUUGUGUCAAGUAGAGCUAAACCCACUAUCACUUUGACAACCUAGCAAUACACAACCUGGAAAAAUGUGGACCCACAUCUUGACCAAAACUAUGCCUUUCUGACCUCCUAACUUUAAAGCAGAUUCGAGUAAUGUACAAAAAAUAAAGAGUUAACUAAAUUGCAAUUAAAAUUAAAUUCACCAGCACUGACUCUAUACUAAUAGCCGAGCUUAACCCUCAGAACAAGCACUGUUGAAGCUUCAAAGUCCAUGCAUGCAUCCAGUAGCAAUCAAACAAACAAAAUUAGCAGCCAAUCAUCACACAUCAUGGCAGAAACCAACCCAGUCACACCAUCACUCACCUUUAGUAUGUCCAUCGAGAAAUCAUCACAUUACAAUGACGCCUUCAAUGCUCGAUAUAUAACAACCAAUUAAGCAUUGAAAAAUAUAUCCAGGUCAAAUCAAAACACUGGCACCAACCAACAGCUUAAAAAGAAUAAGUUCACAACAUAUUCAACAAGAUUCCAAUUUUAAAACCAUUAUCAUCUUAAUAGACUUUGAACAAAAUAUCGCAUGUUGUAUUCAAUUAAUAGCAUAAGUAGAAUUUGCUUCCUUCAGGGGAGAACUUAAAGCAGUUAAUAGCUUGAACACAAAAAAGUACAUCCAAGAAACUGUACGGUUUGGAUAACAAAAAUAGCAUACUCAACAACAUGAACUCAACAAAUGAACAGGAAAUCUCUUUGACAAUGCAGCAAAGGAGAAAGUGAACAACAGAUUAAGAACAGAUAUAGAUGCCAUACCGCUUGCUUAGCAAUUACACGAGCAGAAGAUGUCUUCCCAGUCCCUAAAAUUCACAGUUGUAGAAAAAAUAAGUCCAAUACAAUAAUGACCCUAUCCUAGCAGGUUAAAUAAAAGACCAACAGAGAAUUUGAAAAAAUCAAAAAAGAGCAUAUGAAGUGUUUUUCUUCCCUUGGAAUCAAGUUAUCUUUCUCAGUGGGCAAGUACGUGUUUAGCAUUACUGAACAUUAAAAAUAAUCAAUCAUAGGCAACAACUGACUUAAUGAUUAACUAUAUGUACUUUUAACCUAUGGAUUCACAAGUAAUUUAUACUGCUAAAACACACAACAAAAAGAGAACUACAGAUAAAUAUCUUCUCUCACUGAAAGAAAUUUCUAUUUAGAUCCAGUACAUGAUUAUGUAAUGCCUAAAAAAUAGCUUUUCUCCGAAAUGAUGUCAUGGUUAUAAACUAUCAUAUACUCUGCUUACAAUAUAUCCUUGUUAGGGCACAAGACAUCUUCCAAUAUUUGAGCUUAGGCAUCUUGUUCCAAACCUAGAAAACCUACCCACAAAAUCAAGGUAAAUUUCGAGACUCCAGUGAACCAAAUCACAAUUGUCAAUCAAUUUUUCUAAUAGGAAUUGGCUGCUGAGUGCUUUGCAAAGAUAAGAGACCUGAUACAUAUAUAUAGAUACACACAAGGACGGUGGAACAGGUAUUGGGCACCGUACCGAUUGCCCGGCAGAAUGAGUCGAUACGGAUCCACGCCGUGCUGUAACAUGCCGGGCCGGGCCCAUAUCGACACAUCUUCUACGGCGGGGGAGAGGGAGAACGAAAGAGGAAAAGAGAGAGAGAGCGGAGGAGGGAGAGAGAGGGAGAUGAGGGAAGAGAGAGGCCAGGGCCUGCUAGCAAAAGUCGGAGAGCCUCUGCACGUAGGAGCAGGAGCGGCCCAAUAUAUUUAGAAGCCUAAGGCCGUUUUAUCUUUGAGGCCUUCCUUGCAGUGGGCCGGCCUAAAGCAAACUCAUAGAAGGGCCUUUUUCCUUUUCAUUUUGUCAUUGAGGCCUUUUCUGCGGUAGGCCUUCUUUGGGCCGGGGCCUUAGGCAACCGCCUAAGUCGCUUAAGGAUUGGGCCGGCCUUGCGUAGGAGGCGGAGGCUGGAGAGACGUGGAGGCAGGACUCCACCUUCGGGCCCCUUUUAUUUUUGGAUUUUUUAAGUUGAAAUCGGCAAACCUAUUGCCGACUUCACUUAAUGGGUUUGCCGACUUCAACUUAAAAAACCUAAAAAUAAAAGGGCCCCCUCCGGGCCCCGCCUCCGCGUCUUCCCAGCCUUCGCCUCCUCCGCACGGAGGCUCUUCGGCUUCCGCCAGCCGACCCUGGCCUCUCUCUUUCCUCCUCUCCCUCUUCCUCCAUCCCCCGCUCUCUCUUUCUCUUUUCCUCUCUCGUUCUCCCUCUCCCCCACCGUAGAUAUGUCGGUAUAGGCACGGCACGGCACGACAUGACGUAGGCCCGUACAGACUUAUCCUGUUGGGCAACCGGUACAAUGCCCAGUACUGGUUCAGCCGUUCUUGUGUGUAUCUAUAUAUAUGUAUUAGAUCUCUUAUCUUUGCAAAGCACUCAACAACCAGUUCCUAUUAGAUAAUUAGAAAAAUUAUACCAGGAGACAAAUUGAUUGACAAUUGUGUUUUGGUUCACUGGAGAAAAUUUACCUUGAUUUUGCGGGUAGGUUCUUAAGGUUUGGAACAAGGUUCAUUAGAGGCUCCCCGGCCGGCCCGAACCACUCUCUUCCUUCCUCUCUCUCUCUCCCUCCCUUCCCCGCUCUCUUUUUUUCUUCUACUUCUUCCCCUCCGACUAGUCCUCUCAGUUUCAAUGGCGGAAUCGUCCCGGUCUGCCGCCGGUACGAUCCGAGAUGCUUUGAACCGGGCUAUUUGGGACCGUUCCGCAAACCUUGGAUACACAUACAUAUGGUGCUAAAUAAAGAUUAUUCUUUUAAAGAGACAAUUGUGCAUGUAUACAACAAUUACUGGAUUGAACUAAUUUAUAAUAAUGCACACUAUUUCUAACUAAAUGAGCCAUAAUCACGAAACCUUCUCCCAAUUAACUGGGAUCGGUUUCAUUUUAAUCCUCAUUUGCCAAUCCUAUGAUGUUAAAUGCCUUAGCAUUCGUGAACAUAUUGUUGGACAUGCUGUUUAACAAUCAGUUCUCAACCAAACAUCCACCCUUCACCUUACCAUCCAGGUCUGGAACCAACAAUGACAGUAUUCAUUGCUAACUAUAUAGUACAUCCAAAUGAAAAGGCAUGCCCUAAUUCUACAAGUGCAAAUAGUUCCAACGAGAUCUAUCAUUUAAAAAGCUUAAAGCAUAAAAACAUAUAUUUCUCUUGGGGCACAAAAGAAAAGAUAGAGAUAGAAUCUUGAAAUGCUUAAAAUGCUAUAUGCUUUCUCCAUUCAACAGAGAGAGAAGCAGGGUGAAUCCAACAAUAUGUAACUAGUUUUCCCUUCAAUGCAUGAACAACAACAUAACCUCUGAGUCUGAGUAAAAUUUUAAAUCAUAAUCAACUAACCUGGUGGACCUUCAAAAAGGACAGCGCGAGGUCGAUUACUCUCAAAUUUAGAACGGGCUCCACGAGCAAUAUCAUCAUAUACUUCAGGGCAUUGUAAUGCCAAAAGUAUGGUGUCCUCUAUUUCCCUAUGAAUUUCAAUCAUAAUAAUGCCAUAAUUUGCAUAGGAAGACAAAAGAUAACUUUAGAAAAAACUGGAGAAGAAAGCAUGAAGUUAGAGAAUAUCUUAACAAUCUUGUUUAGCAGAAAAUGUCCUAGAAGUUAUCCUGUCAAAUAAACGUCACUAGCCUUUCCCCUUUCAUUUCAAAGCAUAAAGCCUGUGAGUUUUCUUCUUAAUUCAAAAGAUUAUUGAACAUAGAACCAACUAGUGGCUGUAGCUCGCACAUAUGAUAGAGGGCACUCAAAACAUGAAAAAUGCCGAAGAAAACUAACAAUCAAAAUCUAAACUUUCUCCACCCAACAUCUCUCCUCGUCACUUCAUUCUCAAUCCUCUCAUCUCUCCUCAUCAACUCAUUCUCAGUCUUCUCAUCUCUCCUCUUCUUUCCCUCUCAUAUUUCUUGCAUCUUUGUCCACCUCUCCACUCUCCUCACACUCCUUCCCUCUUCCAAUCCUCAUUCCCAGCCUCUCCUCAAACCUUCCAUGUUGUAGCAUCAAACACAUCACAGUAUGACAUAGCUUUACCUUACGCCUGUUAACAUUUUGACCCCUCUCAGACAUCAGUUAACCCCAGCUUCCUUGGCCACAGCAGACCUGCAGCCUAUGCUGACACCUAAACCCUCAACCACAAUCUAAAAUCUACAUGUUCACUAGGCUAGGUUCUUCCUACAGACUUCAGAUCAGGCAACGACUAGGCAUGAAUCAAGAUAAUAAUCCAGGGCUGACACAAGGCAUGGGCAUUCACCAUAAAGGUCAGAUUACAUCCAGGCAAGCCCGGUCACUAACAGUUAUAUGUAUGCAGUAUGUGGAAUCACCAUUUGUCGAAACAAACAUACUGUCCCUUGAUAAUAACUAAUUUGCAUUAAUGAAAAAGGGGUAUACCAAGCUCACCUUCCUACAUCCAAUUACCUAGGUGUUCAAAUAACGAAAAACCCAUCAUGACAUAAGCAUGAACAGCAGAAAAUUGGGGGUAUAGAAGACUAUGCAAGUCUAAUGAUGACCUGUGAGGCUCCUUUGCUGCAGGCGGGUACACUCAUUUUAAUUUUUCCUUUUUUUUUUAUGGAAAAGGAGGCUUAGCCACCUUUUUUUAAAUUUAGACAUAAAAACCAGAUGUGCAACAUUCAACUAGAACCAAAGUGUCGUAUAAUCUACAGUCUCCGAUGAUGCAAAAGAUAUAUAUAGCCAUCAAAAAGCAUAAUUCAAACAUAUAAAAAAUAUAAAAUGCUUCAUUAGGUUCUCUCUACGAUUCAUUGUCGCACAAUACUGAUGUCAGCGAGAAAAGAAUUGAAUAGCUAUUUACCAGAUUUGUGCAUUCACCUUGUAUUUAAAUAUCCAUUACCCUUGUAUUGGCACUUAUACAAAGUAGAAAAGAACAGAACGGUUUGUGCAUGAUGCAAAAUUUUAAAAAAAAAUUCAGAUGCACGUAGUUUACAAGACAACUAUCAAAUAAUAAAUGGUUAAAAGAAAAUUAUUCAUUAUCAUAUUUAUACCGUUUCUGGUGAUCAUAUCCUGCAAUGUUAUCCCAUGAUAUCAUCCCGUCCAUGGGAGCACCACAAGUUCCAUCAAAUCCAUAGACUCUUACACCCAUGGCCUCUAAAGCAGACACUGCUUUUUCCACAGAAGACGUUUGUGCACCACCAUGAUUAUUGUCUCUUUUGAACUCACGCCCCUUUGGGCUCUUUCCUACUGAUUUUUUCACAUCCUUUCUACCAGCUAGUUUUAGUGCGCUCACCAAGGCAUCAAGUUCUUUGAAGCUAAAGCUUCCCUGUUUUAUGAACUCAAUCUCCUGAAGAAUAGCUUGGUUAGAAACUUCUGAAAAUGACUGGUUUAAUUAAUUUCAAUAUACAACCUAACGGACAAAGAUUAUAAUGGCAGAAAGCACAAUUCUAAUGACUUAAUUAGCCAAAAGAAAAGGAAGAAAAGAAGAACUAACACAAUACUCAGAACCAACAAGGGACUCAAAUAGCAAAAUGCAGAAACUGCCCCCAUGUUUUUCUCCAUUGUCAUCCUUCACGUUUUCUGGAGAGUUAAGAGUUAUCUGCCAUGCAGCUGCACUGAAACAGAAGUGCUGUAAUUAUACCAGUAAAACAGAUAGUGAAUAUUUAUAAAGAUCUAACAUCCAUGGUUUGAUUGAUUACCCAGAUAUAAUAUCCAUAAUUUGAGUGAUUACCAACUUUCUAUGAAAGCAUAGACAUAACAUAUAAAUACUGCGUGAGAAUAACUAAUAAAAUUACUCCAGAAUAUCUAAGGAGAAAGUAAUAAGUUAAUAACAUCCAAUGAAAUGACCAACACAACAAGCUCGUAGAAUAGUUCAUAACUAUAAUGGUAAAACAAAAAAGCAAUUGCAAUCAUAGAAAAAACAAUAACCAAAAUUGCCAAUAUGGCUGGACACAAGAGCUAAAUAGCAUUGAUAGGGUAGAAAACUAGCAAUAUUUACAAAAAGAAGGAAAGCCAUGGGAGAAUGUUAUAUAAUAAUGGACACUCAUGAAGAUGUAAUGAUUCAAAUGUCCUUUUAGUCUUCGUUUUUUUUCUAAAAAUACUAUUGUAACUAUUAUUUGAACAAUUAAUUGGGGAAAAAAAUUGUAACGAUGAGAAACUAUGGAUCAGGAGCUGCAAAGGUUGGUUAUGUGCUACUGAACAAGGCAAACAUGUUUCUGUGAACAGCCAUUCAGAUUUUACAUAAUGGAUUACAAACCACAGCUUCCUUUCUAGCAGUAAUAGAACAGUGAUAAAAGAACAACCAGGGGAGUUUAGCUUGAUAACAAAUACAGAUGAUAUGAAUCAAGCCUUUGCAGAGGUCUUUGUCACCAGAAAAAGGGCAGGUUGUGGUAAUCACCAGCCAAGAACAGUGAGGAAAAAGCAUCUCGAGGGAAAAAUACAUAAACAGAUUGUGCUUAAAGAGGAGAGGACAAAGAGAUCCAUACAAAAAUUACUAAAAAAGGUUCUCAGGAGUUCUGAUAAUAAAGAAAGAACUAGAAGUCUAACCACAAUCAAAAAACUAUCAACAUCUUGCUCAAACCCUUUACACGACUAUUUAUUGCUCCUGGGACACUGCUAUGUUUCCCCAAUAACCUUCCCAGAAUGUGUAGACCCGGUUUUUCAGCAUCAUACAUGCAGGGGUUGGUCAUUAAUUGGGGCCAAAAUGCCAACUGUAAGCCUGUAAUCUUGACAGUUAGAAUAAAACCAUGAGCUGAACAAGUUUCAGGAAAGUUUUGGGGAAGAGGAAGCAAUUUUCAUUGCUCUUGAUACUAAAAUAACCUAAAAACUAAUCUAAGCCAUUGCACUGAAGCUGCAUCACGUAAGAGUACAAUGAAUGUGAACGACGCGUGAGCCAAUCUAAUGUUCAUUUUGGAAGUUAGAUGCCCAACAACAGUGCUUGACAGUUGAAAAAGCUUUGAAAAAUGGUUUGUUUUGCAAAAACAACUACCUUCUUGGAGCACCAUAGAUAGACUAUUUUACCUACCGUCAUGCCUUAAAUAACAACCCAUGGCAAACUAGAUACUAUCAUGCACGCAUUACUAUCUGCAUACUUAAUAUAUUGUGUCUAAUCUACAUGUUUAUCUCAAGUAUCAUAUUGCCUUCAUCUCUACAUUGUUUACAUCUUCUCAUGAUUAACUAAUUCAUAGGAUCAAUUUCCAUAUACAAAAUGUUGCACCAAAGCAUAUGCUAUUUGUAACAACCUGGGACCUCACCUAAAAAGGCUAGCUAGAAGAUAUUAUUUGAGUGUCUCUAUAUAAGUAUACAAAAUCUGCCCAAUGCAUAGCUAAUUUGGGACUAAACACACAUUUGUACCGGUCCUCACAAACUCCCUUUGUUUAAGCCAUGGCGUUCUCGCCAAGAUAAAGAUCCAAAUCCAUUCAAAUCCAAUCACAAACACCAUCAUUAGCUUGUAGUCAGUCCAAAUAGGCUUAUGUUGCAGCGUACCCUAGACCAUAUGAGCCAUGGGCCGGGUUCGCUUUAAUACCAUUUGUAACAAUCCAAGACCUCACCCGAAAAGGCAAGCUAGAAGUUAUUAUUUGAAUUCCUUGGCCUUGUAUAAGUACCCAAAGUUUACUCAGUGCAUAGCCAAUAUGGAACUAAACAAACCCCCGCACGGGUCCUCACAUAACAAAGUUGUUUCUUGAAGAAUCAAACCUAUAUCAUUGCGUUUGUUAGUCCAAGCCUUCUACAAUUGUAGCAAGCAAUGAACUCUUUUGUAAUAACCCAGAGCCUCACCCAAAAAGGCUAGUCAGAAGGUAUUAGUUGAGUUCCUUGAUUCUAUAUAAGUAACUAAGAUCUACUUAGUACAAAGCUGAUGUAUGACGAAGCAUAUGCCCGCACAGGUCCUCAUCCUUUAUGUAUGCAUUAAAGUACAAGUAGAAAAUACAAUUAAUUAAGAAAUUUGAUCUCAAAUUAUUCUUUGUCCUAAAGCCCAAAAAUGAAAAUCUUAUGCUAUGAAUGAGAGAAGAAAUAUCAAACUACAAUAACAAUACAAAUAAGACCGGUGUUAAUUCUUUAAAUUAUAGAAGAAACAUGUUAUAAACAUGCAACAUAGUAGAUGCCUUCGAAAUUUGAGAAAGAACAUCAUUUUUUUUACAUAUAAGAGGAAAUUUCAUUAGACAUCAAAAUCCUAAGCAUACAGAUCUGCUAAGUACAUGUCGUAGUCACGUGCUUUCAACAUGCUUUCUCAAUAAUCAGCUCUCAAUUCAACAUCUUCAUAAUAAAUUGGAUACAUAAGCUGGUUAAGGCCACUCUGAACAAGGGAGAAGCUUGCCACCAUCAACCUUAACCAGUUAGUAAGUAGGGAAACCAAGCUUACUAGUUACACAAUCUAAUCAGUUCAAGUCAGGUAGAAUCCAUCUGACUUUUUGGGUCAGAUGGUAAGUUUUUGUUAAAAACCUCAUCAAGUUUUUGUUGACAACAACACAUUUGUUUAUGAAAUUCAUGGAGGGUCAGAUUAGAUAGACAAGAACGUAUUUGAUUACUUUCAGGUCGGGUCAGGCAGUCUCAUAUGAUCCAUAACAGAUCUACAUGUCAAACAUCUCAGUCAUUUUAAUCUAAGUCUAACUUGAAUGAUCCAUCAAAAUGGAAUAGACACGGUGAUUUUCAGGUUGGUGACAAACCGGAUAACAGUCAAUAUAAACCACGUUCAACCCAUCCAGUAAAUGCUCUAAUGCCCAACCCUCUAAAAGCAUUCUAAUGAUUUAUGGUGGUUUUGCACGUGUGCAAAUGUGACCGGAAGAGUUUCUAACUUGCUCCAUGAGUUUUCAGCAGAAACUCUACUAAGCCAACAGAACAUUCUAUGCAGAGUUCCGGACAUCAAAAAUCAUAUGUACUUCAUUAGUUAUGACAUUAUUCGCUCUGGUGUGGAAAUCACUCAGUACUCUAUGAUAUAUUUCUUGAACAUGACUCAUUUUAUCUGUGCUAUGAUUUACUAUGUGUUUCAGAAGUGAUAACUUAGUAACAUAAACCCUCUUUUAUAAUGUUAAUCCAUUAAUAUGGUAGUAUUUAUCUUUAUGAGUUCCUUGUACAAACAACACUCAAGACAUAAAAAGUAUUAUCCCUAUGUAUUCUCCAAUCACCGGCUCCUUACAAACUUCUUCUUAUGUAUCGUUUUAUCUAUAUAUAUAUAUCAUUCAUCAAUCAGUUACACAAACAAAUCAAUUUUUAUUGACAAACAAUAUGCCUAACCACUGAUACACUUCACAAUUUUCACCUAUGAGCACAGGUUCAACCAAACACAUAGGGGUACUUGGUCUUUCCUUCAGAUGGCAGGCCACCCUUGCACAGAUCCCAUCAGGUUGCCUCCAACACAGUGUGAAACUUUGAUAAUGAUAAAUCUGACUUGUUGCUAAACACCUUACAAACAUCUUAAAUAUUAGUUGUUUGAUUUACCAUAUUGGUUACAUCCUCUACUUAGUGGUCUUAGAUAGUCUUUUUACUUCUUCGAUGAUGAUCAUAACCCCUUAAUCCAUGGUCAACCAGCCCCAAUCAUCUCAUCUUAUAAUCUGAUCCAUCUAACAACUUAUCAUAUAGUCUUUCAUACAUUCAUUGCUAAUGGUUGCCCUAAAUGUCUUAUCUUGGCCCUUCAGUCUUGUCACCAAUACUUGCUCUAAGUCCAUUUUGAGUUUGCCUAAAGAGAAAGAAAGAGGACCAAGUGAGAAUUUAGGUUCCACCCAUGAAUGCAAAAACGCACACACCAUGCACAUUCCCCAACACCUAACACUAACUCACCCACCCAUGCAGAUCCAUACUUUUUUCUGUUUUCAUUUUUUUUAAUCUGCUAUAAGGGUGAGCUCGCAGCUUCAUUUGAUUCACUUUGAAGAAAGAAUUUAAGAACAGGAAAACAAAAAACAAAAUAGUUAGCCAGAAGUAUAGAGAUGUGUAUAUAGAAUGAAGAUGGCAAAAUAAAGCCGUAAGUUAAAUCAACAUUGUUUCAUACUUUCAUCCAUAACUGCAGUAAAAUUCAGAAGUUUCUCACCACAAGAUUUCUAACCAUCAAAGAAAGGUACAGAAUUCCAGAAAUGCUUCAGAACUCAAAUGAAUGGGGAUCAAAAUUUAAAUGGUUAUUUUAACAAGAAGAAAUAAAAAGAAUUGUAUAUGGUAGACCACAAAUAUUAAAUAAUUGAAAACUAUAAGAAUUAUUGCUUGUACAAACCUAUCCCAAGCACGUAAUAACAUUUCUGAACCACUGCCAUGCUGUUCAGCCUUAAGUCCAAGAUGUGUUACAAGAUCCACAAUAAGAUGCGAUACCUCACAUGUAGAAGGAAUCUUGAAUUUGACAAUGACCUAGUAUUCAUGAAGUUAUUCAAUAGAAUAAAGUCAAUAAACUGCGGAAUAAAGUUACUGAUAACAUUGCAUAUGUGCAAAUCUAAUAUCAAGGUCCAUACAAGUAGCCUGCACAUCAAAAGAUCAGACAGCUAAAAGUCAAGCUAUCUUUUGGAUACAUAUAUCCUAUUAUGUGUGUCGAUAUCAACCAAUGUUGUACUAUCUCUAAGGGCCUUUUCAGGUAAUCCAAGAGGACUCAAGCUGGAUUUCCUGUUGGAUUACCCAAACAAGCCCUAAGUUGAUUCAAGCCACUCAACUUUUUUAGAAAUUGAAUGUCUAGUCUACUGUUUUAAACCUCAAAAUGUGACACAAAGACAUGCUUAUAUUUGCAAAAUCCAGUUUAUAUUUAUGAAGGAUCUCACCAUGUUGUCAAAAAUGGUUAGACAGUCAUUAAAAAAACACGAAAAGCAUUUAACUAGUUUAAACAUCUGAAUGGACUAUGAAACAAUCGAGGAACUACAAAAAAUAUGUACAUUAUUAACAUAAGCUACUCUCUGUAAAGUAAUAAAACAUUGACAUGAAUAACUCAAUCAACUAGAAACUAGUUUUGCAAUCAAUAUGAGGCAUAACACUAUUAUCAAUUCCACAAAAUAAAGAAAGAAAAUAAAUAAGUGAGAAUAUGAAAUAGAAGCACAUUCGGAAAAAAUUUAGAUGAUUUAAGGUGAAAAAAUGAAAAAAAAAGAUAAAGAUAAAUUAAGAGGGCAAAAGAGGUGCACUCCAUUCAGUUGCACUAUUUGAGAAAGGACAUAGGCCUUCCUUCACCAAUAAGACUACUAGAAUAAGUUGCUUACCAUUAGAAUAAAGGAUAAAAUUUGGUUCAGAUUAAAAAAAAAAAACACUCUUAACUUCUUUUGUUAAACAUAUUUAGUUGGUAUUUACAUAAAGCCUAAGCCAUGGAACACUGUGAAACAAAGCAAUAGCAAAUAAAAUACAAUCCAGUGUAUUAUUGUAUCAUGUUGUAUAGUAUGCAGAAAUUAUAUUUUUAUAGCAUCAAGUCAGUAACAGAGUACUAGUAAACACUCGACAGACUGAAUUUUGAGAUGAACUGUGGAAACAACAUGCACAAGGUCAAGUGGUCGAUAUAGUCGCUUCGAAAAAUAAGUAGGCUUUGAAAGUGAAAAGAAGAUAUAAGCAUUCAUGUGACUAUAUUUAAUAACCUCGAAUGCUCCUGGUUUAGCUUAUAAUGGUAACCUUUGGAUACUACGUUCAACUUAAUAUUUUCUGAUCCCAUUCUUCUCCUUCCUCCAAUUCACAUUUAUAGUUAUUUAACUGAUUCAUCGCCCACUCUGAUCCUAAAUAAGUUUUAAAUCGUAUCACCCAAAAUCAAAUGCUGCAAAUGAAAAAUUACGGAUUUUUUCACCAUCAAACACAAA
rnacentral:lncRNA from 1 species